rnacentral:rRNA from 1 species
GAGCACGUAGGUGGGUUUGUAAGUCAGAUGUGAAAGCCUUCUGUUCAACGGAAGAAUUGCAUCUGAAACUACAAACCUUGAGUAUAGGAGGGGAGAAUGGAACUUCUGGUGGAGCGGUGAAAUGCGUAGAUAUCAGAAGGAACGCCGGCGGCGAAAGCGAUUCUCUGGCCUAUUACUGACACUCAGUGUGCGAAAGCUAGGGGAGCAAACAGGAUUAGGUACCCCGGUAGUCCUAACCGUAAACGAUGGGCACUAAGUAGAGGGGUUUU